rnacentral:rRNA from 1 species
UACGAGGGGGGCAAGCGUUGUUCGGAAUCACUGGGCGUAAAGGGCGCGUAGGCGGCGCGGGAAGUCCGUGGUGAAAGCCCGAGGCUCAACUUCGGGUCGGCCAUGGAUACUCCUGGGCUCGAGCACUGUAGAGGCAGGUGGAAUUCCGGGUGUAGCGGUGGAAUGCGUAGAGAUCCGGAAGAACACCGGUGGCGAAGGCGGCCUGCUGGGCAGUGACCGUAAGGUCUUAAAAGCUGACGCUGAGGCGCGACAGCGUGGGGAGCAAACAGG